rnacentral:rRNA from 1 species
GACGAACGCUGGCGGCGUGCCUAAUACAUGCAAGUCGAACGCUGAAGGAGGAGCUUGCUUCUCUGGAUGAGUUGCGAACGGGUGAGUAACGCGUAGGUAACCUGCCUGGUAGCGGGGGAUAACUAUUGGAAACGAUAGCUAAUACCGCAUAAUAGUAGAUGUUGCAUGACAUUUGCUUAAAAGGUGCAAUUGCAUCACUACCAGAUGGACCUGCGUUGUAUUAGCUAGUUGGUGAGGUAACGGCUCACAAAGGCGACGAUACAUAGCCGACCUGAGAGGGUGGUCGGCCACACUGGGACUGAGACACGGCCCAGACUCCUACGGGAGGCAGCAGUAGGGAAUCUUCGGCAAUGGACGGAAGUCUGACCGAGCAACGCCGCGUGAGUGAAGAAGGUUUUCGGAUCGUAAAGCUCUGUUGUAAGAGAAGAACGAGUGUGAGAGUGGAAAGUUCACACUGUGACGGUAUCUUACCAGAAAGGGACGGCUAACUACGUG